UGGGGAAUAUUGCACAAUGGGCGCAAGCCUGAUGCAGCGACGCCGCGUGGGGGAUGAAGGCCUUCGGGUUGUAAACUCCUUUCGCUAGGGACGAAGCUUUUUGUGACGGUACCUAGAUAAGAAGCACCGGCUAACUACGUGCCAGCAGCCGCGGUAAUACGUAGGGUGCGAGCGUUGUCCGGAAUUACUGGGCGUAAAGGGCUCGUAGGUGGUUUGUCGCGUCGUCUGUGAAAUUCUGGGGCUUAACUCCGGGCGUGCAGGCGAUACGGGCAUAACUUGAGUGCUGUAGGGGUAACUGGAAUUCCUGGUGUAGCGGUGAAAUGCGCAGAUAUCAGGAGGAACACCGAUGGCGAAGGCAGGUUACUGGGCAGUUACUGACGCUGAGGAGCGAAAGCAUGGGUAGCGAACAGG
rnacentral:rRNA from 1 species